CAGUCGCCACGGGAAUACGAAGGGGGCUAGCGUUGUUCGGAUUUACUGGGCGUAAAGGGCGCGUAAGCGGGCGAUUAAGUCAGGGGUGAAAUCCCAAGGCUCAACCUUGGAACUGCCUUUGAUACUGAUUGUCUUGAGUUCGAGAGAGGUAAGUGGAACUGCGAGUGUAGGGGUGAAAUUCGUAGAUAUUCGCAAGAACACCAAUGGCGAAGGCGGCUUACUGGCUCGAAACUGACGCUGAGGCGCGAAAGCGUGGGGAGCAAACAGGAUUAGAUACCCCUGUAGUCCCUGUCUCUUAUAA
rnacentral:rRNA from 1 species